GGUUCUCUCGAAGAUCUCUCAGGCCGGCCGUUUCUCUUCAGGCGGCGCCGUGGGCAGCCCGCGGGCCUUGUAAGAGCGCGCAGCCCCGCCCUCCUCCUUUCCGCCGGGGCAGCCAUCUUCCAGUAACUCGCCAAAAUGACGAACACAAAAGGAAAGAGGAGGGGUACUCGGUAUAUGUUCUCUAGACCUUUUAGGAAACAUGGAGUCGUUCCUUUGGCCACAUACAUGCGAAUCUACAAGAAGGGUG